rnacentral:lncRNA from 1 species
GGAGUUGGGAGACUUGGGCUUAUUAUGUACCCAUAGGUGCAUAAUAUUGCAUGGCACAGCUUCUCAGCAUAAAGCCCUGGUAAUGUGUUAUUUCUAUCCAACAGUAAUUUCCAUGGUUAUUUUAUUUUUUUAAUCCUGUCUACCUAUGUUUUUUUACAGUGCCCAGUCCUUUAACACUGGGACGAGAACAUAAAACAGCUGUAUUGGCCAGCUGUGGGUGCCUAUGGAUGAGUAUCAGAAACUGGUGAGCUUGCAGUGAUAUAUUCCUGGUAUACCAUUCCAGCAUCCGCCGAUCUGUAGUUCAAGCACUUCCUGAGCUGGAGAAAAAGAAUUCUGGUUUAAAACAUAACGUGCUGACAGCAGCUGAAAUCUCUCCAAUGACCUAUCUAGUCUGGACUAUCCGGUGUAUCUUCUGCAUAAUUAUCUAUACUGGGAUCUUCUGGGAACAGGUCUUGCUCCUUCCUGCACAACCGUAAAUCAACUGCCAGCCCUGGGUUUUAUCUCUGGGCCCCUAUUGCCGGAGAGACCUUGCUUCUUGUUGUAUAGCUUUGGUGUUUGGCUCUUUGGUUGUGGAUUUCUCUCGUGCUGUCUCUGUAAUCGCAGGCAUGCAGGCAACGCAUGUCUGCGAGAGCUCACUGCUAAAGCCAGUAAUGAGAAGCAGG